GAAGCUACAGGCUACGUUAGCAUAAUGCCGCUGCUGUGAAUCCACCUAUGCGGAUGGGCGUACAGCCUGACAAUCUCUGAUGAGAUCGUAAACGAGAUCGCGGACUCUUUGGCUGGAGAGUUCACCGGGAGGCACCCGGCACAGCAGCAACCAAUUACAAACCUCGCCAUCAAUUAAUCAUAAGCGG
rnacentral:misc_RNA from 1 species